UGCUCAGUAGUUCAGCGGUAGAACGCUUGACUGUUAAUCAAGAUGUCGUAGGUUCGAUCCCUACCUGAGCAG
rnacentral:tRNA from 4 species